UCCGGACGGACGCCGAAUCCUGCCGCCGUCCCGGAUGUCAGGUCGACGCGGUUGGAUCGGCAGGAGCGGAGGACCCGAGCAUGACGGGGUCCCGGCCCUCGCGGCCGACGGACUCCUUGGGGUGAAGCCGUCCACACGGCCGGGCAUCUUCGCCUGCCCGAACCCGACAGGUCUCCCUUCGCAGGCGGCUGACGAAGGGUUG
rnacentral:sRNA from 1 species